UGAUGGCGUUCCUCACAUGGUCCAAGACAUGGCCACUGUGAUUUUAGUCCAUCAUAGAUUGAAGUGAGUUCUUCACCCAGUAAGUUCCCUGUCAGGUGAUAGGGCGUGACUUAGCUGGUUUUGCGGAUUCAAACAUUC